ACAGUCAUUCUUCCACACAUAAAGGGAAAACGGACUCACUAGGAGGACCUAGACUCUUUCAGCUUGAACUGUUAACCAAUGGUGGAAAUGCAAGAAUGCUGAAGUUGUGCCUUCAGAGCCAAUAGAGUGGAUUUGUGUGUCCCACAUGACUGUGUUUCCCCUGUCUUUCACAUGGGCAGUAUUUAGUUCAAUUCAGAACUGCAGAUAGUAUAGCAUGCAGAGCAGCAAUGGGAUGUCUGAGCACAAGUGGCUGACUUCCAGGCGACUUCAAGAAGCAUAUUUGCACAUUUCUCCUGAAUUAAACUGGAAUUCUGCACCCUUGACAUCCUCUUACUCUCCUGGUGUCUGCGGAAGGAAACAGCGACCUGCACAGCACAACAAAACUAUAAAUCAUCAGUGAUCUACAGACAAGCAAACGAAGUGAGCUGAGGGCAAUUUAACUACCGCCUUCUGUGUCAGUUCCCCAGAAGUCAAUGAGGCAUACUGUCGGGUCUCCAAGAAAGACAUUUGGGAAGCUGCCAACUCCAUGCACGAAGAAGGAAACUGAAUAAGAAGAGAAGGGUACUGGUACUGAAAUUUAAGGAUGCUGUCAAGUCAAUGGAGUUCUGUUGUAGUGGUUGCUUCAGUGAACAUUCAACGCUGUCGGCCUUCACACCGAAGAUAGAAACCUAACCAGCACAUGAGGUUUCUCCCCUACUCUGCCAUGCUUUACAAAAAAAAGGUCACAAUCAACAUUCAUUGCUGUCGGUGGGUUUAACUAUGUGGACAAGCUCACUGAACAAUGAAUGCAACUGUGGCCCCACAUUUUACAGGUGCAACUGGGAGGAACAUCAGCUCUGAAAGGAAUAGUGAGCAGCAGACAUUUCUUAUAGGCUACAUUUUUCUGGGUAAAAAAUAGUUGAGGAUAUUCAAUUUUCACUUGUUUGUUUUUAAGCAUAUUUAUGGAAUAUCACCCCUCACAGGGUUCAGCAUCACUUAUACCAAAAUAAUGCUUGUUCAGUAUGUAUGUGGAAACAAGUAGUAACAGAGAGAACUGUGUAUUUAUGUAUUCCUCAGAACUGAGCAUGAGGAAAGGGUAUGUAAAUCUUACCUAGAUAGUUUACAGAAGCCUUCUCUGUACUUGCUGAGACAAAAACAGAAACAAGAGCCAGAAUUCAGAGAUAUGGACAAAGUACAUCAAAGAAUUCAGUAGUUUUACAUAAAAAUGAUCUUGCACACCUCAAUAAAUGGUAUCAGACAGCAAGAAUUACUACGUUUGCCUUUUCUAGCAGUCAGAUAAUAGAUGUAUACCUGGUUAUUAUCAAACGGUAGUUAAAUUGUAAAAUUACUCUAAACUUUGGGUACUUGUGUCACACUCAGUAUUGCUAUCACUGAUGAAAAAAUAAAAGUGUAAUAAAAGCUCA